rnacentral:tRNA from 1 species
AAACUAGUACUUUAAUUAAAAGAUUAGUAUUGCAAUCUAACAUUGGUUUUAUACCCUAGUUUA